CGAAAGCCUGACGGAGCAGCGCCGCGUGAGGGAUGGAGGCCUUUGGGCUGUAAACCUCUUUUCUCAAGGAAGAAGAUCUGACGGUACUUGAGGAAUAAGCCACGGCUAAUUCCGUGCCAGCAGCCGCGGUAAUACGGGAGUGGCAAGCGUUAUCCGGAAUUAUUGGGCGUAAAGCGUCCGCAGGCGGCCGUUUAAGUCUGUUGUUAAAUCGUGGAGCUCAACUCCAUCACGGCAAUGGAAACUGUUCGGCUUGAGUAUGGUAGGGGCAGAGGGAAUUUCCGGUGUAGCGGUGAAAUGCGUAGAUAUCGGGAAGAACACCAGUGGCGAAAGCGCUCUGCUGGGCCAUUACUGACGCUCAUGGACGAAAGCCAGGGGAGCGAAAGGGAAUAGAUACUCCUGUAGUCCUGGCCGUAAACGAUGAACACUAGAUGUUGGGGGAAUCGACCCCCUCGGUGUCGUAGCUAACGCGUUAAGUGUUCCGCCUGGGGAGUACGCACGCAAGUGUGAAACUCAAAGGAAUUGACGGGGGCCCGCACAAGCGGUGGAGUAUGUGGUUUAAUUCGAUGCAACGCGAAGAACCUUACCAAGGCUUGACAUCCUGCGAAUCUCUAAGAAAUUAGAGAGUGCCUUCGGGAACGCAGUGACAGGUGGUGCAUGGCUGUCGUCAGCUCGUGUCGUGAGAUGUUGGGUUAAGUCCCGCAACGAGCGCAACCCACGUUUUUAGUUGCCAGCAUUCAGUUGGGCACUCUAGAAAGACUGCCGGUGACAAACCGGAGGAAGGUGUGGACGACGUCAAGUCAUCAUGCCCCUUACGCCUUGGGCUACACACGUACUACAAUGCUGCGGACAAAGAGUAGCGAUCUUGCGAAAGUUAGCUAAUCUCAUAAACCGUGGCUCAGUUCAGAUCGUAGGCUGCAACUCGCCUACGUGAAGGAGGAAUCGCUAGUAAUCGCAGGUCAGCAUACUGCGGUGAAUACGUUCCCGGGCCUUGUACACACCGCCCGUCACACCAUGGAAGUUGGCCAUGCCCGAAGUCGUUACUCUAACCUUUUGGAAGAGGGCGCCGAAGGCAGGGCUAAUGACUGGGGUGAAGUCGUAACAAGGUAGCCGUAGCGGAAGCUGCGGCUGGAUCACCUCCUAA
rnacentral:rRNA from 1 species